rnacentral:rRNA from 1 species
UGAGACACGGCCCAGACUCCUACGGGAGGCAGCAGUGGGGAAUAUUGCACAAUGGGCGAAAGCCUGAUGCAGCGACGCCGCGUGAGGGAUGACGGCCUUCGGGUUGUAAACCUCUUUCAGCAGGGAAGAAGCGAAAGUGACGGUACCUGCAGAAGAAGCGCCGGCUAACUACGUGCCAGCAGCCGCGGUAAUACGUAGGGCGCAAGCGUUGUCCGGAAUUAUUGGGCGUAAAGAGCUCGUAGGCGGCUUGUUGCGUCGGUUGUGAAAGCCCGGGGCUUAACCCCGGGUCUGCAGUCGAUACGGGCAGGCUAGAGUGUGGUAGGGGAGAUCGGAAUUCCUGGUGUAGCGGUGAAAUGCGCAGAUAUCAGGAGGAACACCGGUGGCGAAGGCGGAUCUCUGGGCCAUUACUGACGCUGAGGAGCGAAAGCGUGGGGAGCGAACAGGAUUAGAUACCCUGGUAGUCCACGCCGUAAACGUUGGGAACUAGGUGUUGGCGACAUUCCACGUCGUCGGUGCCGCAGCUAACGCAUUAAGUUCCCCGCCUGGGGAGUACGGCCGCAAGGCUAAAACUCAAAGGAAUUGACGGGGGCCCGCACAAGCAGCGGAGCAUGUGGCUUAAUUCGACGCAACGCGAAGAACCUUACCAAGGCUUGACAUACACCGGAAAGCAUCAG